GCAACUGGGGAAGGGUCCUGCCCACCUGCCUGUUGCCUGCCUGGGUCCCCCAGUGCCCUGGACAGGGGCACUUGAUGCUCCUUUUGGUCCUCAGGACACAUGUGCCCCAGUGAAGGGCAAGAGGCAGGGGGAGGUGAGGAAGGGGCUGGCAGAGGCCACGGACAGGCUCUAGACCUGAGAAGAGGUUGCGGAAGGGGUGACCUUCAACAAGUGUCCUGCAGUCACCUCUGGCCAUGAGUCCCACACAUGCAAGAGGCACGGAGGGCCAAGCAUGAACAUUGGUGGGCAGACAACAGGAAGGACUUCCCAGCAGCACUGUGUUCUUUCAGGCCUCUAGGAAUGCUGGGGCCAACACGCAGGGCGAGCUCCUGCGGAAGUGCGGACUAAGGGGAAGGGUUAAUCUGGCCAUUCUCCUGGACCCACCAGGAUCUGCACGCCCUUCCCUGACACAUGCAAACACACUCCCCCCCCUCCAACCUGGUGUGUAUCAUGUUCCCCACUUCCCCAUCUCCACACCUGUGCCCUUGUUCUCAAUUGCCCUGAACGAACCCUCACCUAUUAAAAACUCAAGAGUCCUGUGUCUGGGUGCCCACUCUAAUCACCCAGGCUCCACAGCC